GCUGGCGGUAGGCCUAACACAUGCAAGUCGAACGGCAGCACAGUAAGAGCUUGCUCUUAUGGGUGGCGAGUGGCGGACGGGUGAGGAAUACAUCGGAAUCUACUCUGUCGUGGGGGAUAACGUAGGGAAACUUACGCUAAUACCGCAUACGACCUACGGGUGAAAGCAGGGGAUCUUCGGACCUUGCGCGAUUGAAUGAGCCGAUGUCGGAUUAGCUAGUUGGCGGGGUAAAGGCCCACCAAGGCGACGAUCCGUAGCUGGUCUGAGAGGAUGAUCAGCCACACUGGAACUGAGACACGGUCCAGACUCCUACGGGAGGCAGCAGUGGGGAAUAUUGGACAAUGGGCGCAAGCCUGAUCCACCCAUACCGCGUGGGUGAAGAAGGCCUUCGGGUUGUAAAGCCCUUUUGUUGGGAAAGAAAUCCAGCCGGCUAAUACCUGGUUGGGAUGACGGUACCCAAAGAAUAAGCCCCGGCUAACUUCGUGCCAGCAGCCGCGGUAAUACGAAGGGUGCAAGCGUUACUCGGAAUUACUGGGCGUAAAGCGUGCGUA
rnacentral:rRNA from 1 species